rnacentral:rRNA from 1 species
UACAGAGGGUGCAAACGUUGCUCGGAAUCAUUGGGCGUAAAGCGCACGUAGGCGGUCUGUUAAGUCGGGUGUGAAAUCCCCAGGCUCAACCUGGGAAGUGCACUCGAAACUGGCGGGCUUGAAUAUGGAAGAGGGUCGCGGAAUUCCCGGUGUAGAGGUGAAAUUCGUAGAUAUCGGGAGGAACACCAGUGGCGAAGGCGGCUCACUGGCCCGAUACUGACGCUGAGGUGCGAAAGCGUGGGGAGCAAACAGG